GGGCGAAUGGUCUAGGGGUAUGAUACUCCCUUCGCAUAUCUGAACUCUUCAGAAUAAGCUUGGGAGGGGUCCGGGGUUCAAUUCCCCGUUCGUCCA